AACGAACGCUGGCGGCAUGCCUAACACAUGCAAGUCGAACGAGACCUUCGGGUCUAGUGGCGCACGGGUGCGUAACGCGUGGGAACCUGCCCUUAGGUUCGGAAUACCUCCCCGACAGGGGUGCUAAUACCGGAUAAUGUCUUCUGACCAAAGAUUUAUCGCCUUUGGAUGGGCCCGCGUUGGAUUAGCUUGUUGGUAGGGUAAAAGCCUACCACGGCGACGAUCCAUAGCUGGUCUGAGAGGAUGGUCAGCCACACUGGGACUGGGACGCGGCCCAGACUCCUACGGGAGGCAGCAGUGGGGAAUAUUGGAAAAUGGGCGAAAGGCUGAACCAGCAAGGCCGCGAGAGUGAUGAAGGCCUUAAGGUUGUAAAGCUCUUUUAACCGGGAUGAUAAUGACGGUACCGGGAGAAUAAGCUCCGGCUAACUCCGUG
rnacentral:rRNA from 1 species